rnacentral:rRNA from 1 species
UACGGGGGGUGCGAGCGUUAAUCGGAAUUACUGGGCGUAAAGGGUUCGUAGGUGGUAUGUUAAGUCAGAUGUGAAAGCCCAGGGCUCAACCUUGGAACUGCAUUUGAUACUGGCAAACUAGAGUAUGGUAGAGGAAUGGGGAAUUUCCGGUGUAGCGGUGAAAUGCGUAGAGAUCGGAAGGAACACCAAUGGCGAAGGCAACAUUCUGGACCAUAUCACACUGAGGACGAAAGCGUGGGGAUCAAACAGG